rnacentral:lncRNA from 1 species
GACACAUGAUGCUGUGAACGUCAGGGUGCUCGCCAGGGAAGGGCCCUACCCAGAGGGACAGAAAGAAAGCCAGGAGGGGUAGAGUUUGAAGAGAAGAUCAUGUUCUCCCUGAAGACGCUUCCAUUUCUGCUCUUACUCCAUGUGCAGAUUUCCAAGGCCUUUCCUGUAUCUUCUAAAGAGAAAAAUACAAAAACUGUUCAGAGACAAAAAUAUCUUAAAUCAGAUAAAUAAUGUGGCCAAGUGCUCACAGUUAAUUCAUGGCAGAGUUAAGAUUUGAACCCAGGCCUGUCUGAUUCCAAAGCGUGUGAUCUGCACAAGGCCAUCUCAGAAGCCAACCAGAUGCAGCCACCUGAUCUUGGACUUCCCAGCCUCCAGAAUUAAUAAAUAAGCCUUUUCUACAGUAGUGAAGAGGAUAAAAAAGAGGAACUGCACUGAUGCAACAAAUACCUCAAGAGAAGUCAAUUAAUGACUACCUGGAAAAGUUCUACCAAUUACCAAGCAACCAGUAUCAGUCUACAAGGAAGAAUGGCACUAAUGUGAUCGUUGAAAAGCUUAAAGAAAUGCAGCGAUUUUUUGGGUUGAAUGUGACGGGGAAGCC